UGGGGAAUAUUUCACAAUGGGCGCAAGCCUGAUGCAGCCAUGCCGCGUGUGUGAAGAAGGCCUUCGGGUUGUAAAGCACUUUCAGCGGGGAGGAAGGCGAUAAGGUUAAUAACCUUGUCGAUUGACGUUACCCGCAGAAGAAGCACCGGCUAACUCCGUGCCAGCAGCCGCGGUAAUACGGAGGGUGCAAGCGUUAAUCGGAAUUACUGGGCGUAAAGCGCACGCAGGCGGUCUGUCAAGUCGGAUGUGAAAUCCCCGGGCUCAACCUGGGAACUGCAUUCGAAACUGGCAGGCUAGAGUCUUGUAGAGGGGGGUAGAAUUCCAGGUGUAGCGGUGAAAUGCGUAGAGAUCUGGAGGAAUACCGGUGGCGAAGGCGGCCCCCUGGACAAAGACUGACGCUCAGGUGCGAAAGCGUGGGGAGCAAACAGG
rnacentral:rRNA from 1 species